GCGUUGAUGGUAUAGUGGUGAGCAUAGCUGCCUUCCAAGCAGUUGACCCUGGUUCCAUUCCCAGCCAACAUA
rnacentral:tRNA from 1 species